GAUGAACGCUAGCGGCAGGCUUAAUACAUGCAAGUCGAGGGGUAGCAAGAUUGUAGCAAUACAAUUGUUGACGACCGGCAAACGGGUGCGGAACACGUACACAACCUUCCUACAAGUGGGGAAUAGCCCAGAGAAAUUUGGAUUAAUACCCCGUAACAUAGCGAUGUGGCAUCACAUUGCUAUUAUAGCUUCAGCGCUUGUUGAUGGGUGUGCGGCUGAUUAGAUAGUUGGCGGGGUAACGGCCCACCAAGUCUACGAUCAGUAGCUGAUGUGAGAGCAUGAUCAGCCACACGGGCACUGAGACACGGGCCCGACUCCUACGGGAGGCAGCAGUAAGGAAUAUUGGACAAUGGACGCAAGUCUGAUCCAGCCAUGCCGCGUGAAGGAUUAAGGUCCUCUGGACUGUAAACUUCUUUUAUAAGGGACGAAAAAAGGUCUUUCUAGAUCGUCUGACGGUACCUUAUGAAUAAGCACCGGCUAACUCCGUGCCAGCCGCCGCGGUAAAAC
rnacentral:rRNA from 1 species